UACGAAGGGGGCUAGCGUUGUUCGGAAUUACUGGGCGUAAAGCGCGCGCAGGCGGUCCUUCAAGUCAGAGGUGAAAGCCCAGAGCUCAACUCUGGAAUUGCCUUUGAAACUGCAGGACUUGGGUACGGGAGAGGUGAGUGGAAUUCCGAGUGUAGAGGUGAAAUUCGUAGAUAUUCGGAAGAACACCAGUGGCGAAGGCGGCUCACUGGCCCGUUACCGACGCUCAGGCGCGACAGCGUGGGGAGCAAACAGGG
rnacentral:rRNA from 1 species